rnacentral:rRNA from 1 species
UACGAAGGGGGCUAGCGUUGCUCGGAAUUACUGGGCGUAAAGGGCGCGUAGGCGGAUCGUUAAGUCAGAGGUGAAAGCCCAGGGCUCAACCCUGGAAUUGCCUUUGAUACUGGCGAUCUUGAGUACGGGAGAGGUGUGUGGAACUCCGAGUGUAGAGGUGAAAUUCGUAGAUAUUCGCAAGAACACCAGUGGCGAAGGCGGCUCACUGGCCCGAUACUGACGCUGAGGCACGAAAGCGUGGGGAGCAAACAGG